rnacentral:rRNA from 1 species
AACUCGGCGAAAGUCGGGCUAAUACCGCAUGUGAUCCUUCGGGAUUAAAGCCUUCGGGCGCUAAAGGAGGGGCCUGCGUCUGAUUAGCUUGUUGGUAAGGUAAUGGCUUACCAAGGCGAUGAUCAGUAGCUGGUUCGAGAGGAUGAUCAGCCACACUGGAACUGAGAUACGGUCCAGACUCCUACGGGAGGCAGCAGUAAGGAAUCUUCCGCAAUGGACGAAAGUCUGACCGAGCAACGCCGCGUGCAGGAUGAAGGCUUUCGGGUCGUAAACUGCUUUUGUAUGGGAAGAUUAUGACGGUACCAUACGAAUAAGGACCGGCUAACUACGUG